rnacentral:rRNA from 1 species
UACGGAGGGUGCAAGCGUUGUUCGGAUUUACUGGGCGUAAGCGCGCGCAGGUGGGUGAACAAGUCGGAAGUGAAAUCUUGAGGCUCAACCUCGAGGCUGCUCCCGAAACUGUUCGCCUAGGGACUGGUAGAGGCUGGUAGAAUUCCCGGUGUAGCGGUGGAAUGCGUAGAGAUCGGGAAGAAUACCUGUGGCGAAGGCGGCCAGCUGGGCCAGAUCCGACACUGAGGCGCGAAAGCGUGGGAGCAAACAGG